GAAAGGGUGGAGCACAACGUCGAAAGCAGCCGUUGGGAGCCCAGGAGGCGGGGCGCCUGUGGGAGCCGUGGAGGGAACUUUCCCAGUCCCCGAGGCGGAUCCGGUGUUGCAUCCUUGGAGCGAGCUGAGAGCUCGAGUACAGAACCUGCUAAGGCCAUCAAACCUAUUGAUCGGAAGUCAGUCCAUCAGAUUUGCUCUGGGCCGGUGGUACCGAGUCUAAGCACUGCGGUGAAGGAGUUAGUAGAAAACAGUCUGGAUGCUGGUGCCACUAAUAUUGAUCUAAAGCUUAAGGACUAUGGAGUGGAUCUCAUUGAAGUUUCAGGCAAUGGAUGUGGGGUAGAAGAAGAAAACUUCGAAGGCUUAACUCUGAAACAUCACACAUCUAAGAUUCAAGAGUUUGCCGACCUACCUCAGGUUGAAACUUUUGGCUUUCGGGGGGAAGCUCUGAGCUCACUUUGUGCACUGAGAUGCCAGACCUUAGAUUUUAUGAUGACUCCUCAACCGUUUAGAUCUCGGUUAUCUCAGAGGGAUCAUCAGCUUUUUAAGAAAAUUUUGAGAGAAAAGCAAGUGAAGAAAAGAGUAGUCAGUGCCCAACAUCACGGAUCUCUCACUGAACACACCAUGCCUGGUAUUCUCUCACAGUGAUGUCACCAUUUCUACCUGCCAUGUAUCGGCGAAGGUUGGGACUCGACUGGUGUUUGAUCACUAUGGGAAAAUCAUCCAGAAAACCCCCUACCCCCACCCCAGAGGGAUGACAGUCAGUGUGAAGCAGUUAUUUUCUACGCUACCUGUGCACCAUAAAGAAUUUCAAAGGAAUAUUAAGAAGGUACAGUAAAUUAAUCCUGGUUUUCAAGAAUAUUGGUUAAUGCACAUGAGCAAAAGAUUUACUAAAGAUGUUUAUUCUUCAGUUGAUUCCCUUCCCCUAAUUUAUUGAGAAAUGCUUUAUUUGCAUUUCUCAUUAAAGACUUAACUUCAGAAUGA
ensembl:lncRNA novel transcript